rnacentral:lncRNA from 1 species
GACGCGCACGGUCGGCGGCCGAGGCGUCGGCCGCGCAGCCGCGCGCUGCGACAUAGGGCGCGGCAAAGGCGUCAAACUCGGGCGUCGUCUCUCCCGCGGCCAAAGGUCCGUCAUAGGCUCUGGCCGCAGCGGCCUCGGCUGCGGGGUCGUCGGCAAGGGCCUGCUCAAUGCGCGCCACAUUGUCGUCCAGCACAUAGGCCUCGACAGCGGCCAUCACGUCGGCCGGAUCAAAGGCGCCGGCAUAAUAGGGCGCACCCACGCCGUCGUCGUCGGGCAGCACAUUGGCCAGGUUGGCAUAGAUGCGCGGGCCGCGGCGCAUGGUGCCCAGGUCGUCGGCGGGCGGGGCAGCAACGACGCGCACGAGACCCACGAGGUCGGGCCGGCCUUGACGCACCGACCUGGCCACGGUCUCUAGGAGUUGGACCCAUGGCUCUUCGGUCUGCGGCGUGGGGGGCAGAGGCGCGCCGGCGGUCGAUUGGGCCUCGAUGGGGUAGACGCCCUCGUCGCGCUGUUGCCGUUGUUGGCCGUCGACGUCGUUGCCUCCGAUGGAGGCGAUCACGCGGUCGUUUUGGAUCACGGCGGCAUAGUCGCGCACGUCGGGUUCCGAGGCGCGCGCCACGACAAUGACAAACGGGGCCUGGGGCGUCGACAGGCCCGGUCCCACGGCGGGCCACCAUCGAUGGUAGGCCUCGACGGUGAGCGGGCCGGCGAGCACAGGCUCGGCGGGCACGGCGAGGUCGCCCAAGAGCGCGCCCUCGGCCGCAGCCUGAACGAUCGCAUCGGGGACGACUUGCGGCACCGACUCGGCCGCCGUGAGCGCCGUGUCGAUGCCGGCGCGCGCCUCGUUGGCCAUAUAAACGUCGACGAACCGUUUGACCGGGUCCACGGGUGGGUAGCCGAGGAGGCGCGCAAUGGCCUGCUCGGCGCGUCCGAGCACGGCAAGUGGUGUGGGCGGCCACAGGGCCAGCGCACUCGGUUCGCCCGUGCCCAGCGGGUCGACGAGCGGCUGCAGCCAGGCGACGUUGGCGGCGGCGUCAGAGAGCGCCUCUGCCAGCCACGUCAGGUAGGGUCGGUAGACAUUGAGGAUUUGGGUGAUGGGCGCUGCCAUGGUGUCGUCUGCGCGCACCAAGAGGGCCUCUUGCGAGAGCGCGCGCAAGAGGGCCACAGCGCGCGGGUCGGUGGGUCUCUGGCCGCGCGCCUCGUCGGCGACGAUCGAUUCCAGCCAGGCCAGCAACGCCUGCGGAUCGUCGAGACCCUCGGUUGCGGCCCACGCCUGCACGUCCUCCCACGUUCUCGGCUCGCCAGGCCCUGCCUGCGCCGUUGGUGUUUGCAUCGCCGUUUUACGCGCGCGCUCUCUCUUUUUUCGAGUGGCUUUUCCCUGUCUGUUCUUUUUGGCGCGAUCAAGAAAAGGGACGGAGCAACAAAAGGCAAAAGUUGCAGUGAUGGUCUGGUGCCGCCGAGCGCCGUGCGAUGAUUUUGCGUGCGCGUGCCGAGAGUGAUCGCGCGCUUGCCUCAAUGCGCUCCACAAACACGCGCAGGCACGGCGUCUGUGCGCCUGUGCGCCCACUCGACGGUCGAUCCUAGAGGGGCGGCAACGGGACGGUCCGCCUCAUGCUCGGUGCCGAGCGCGUGCACACUAUGGGCGACUGUCGCCCGGUGUCGUCGGCGCCCACAACAUUGCACGCACAUACACAGCCCAAAGAGCGUCGAAAAAAAAAAAGAGGCCCAUCACGGCCGCCUUUAUUUUCUUUUCUCCGCCUCCGUGUCUGCUCUUGCGACGCAAGAAGAGAAAAGAACAGAUGGAC